GACGAACGCUGGCGGCGUGCUUAACACAUGCAAGUCGAACGCUAAAGCCCUACCUUGCUGGUGUGGUUGAGUGGCGAACGGGUGAGUAAUACGUGAGUAACCUGCCCUUGACUCUGGGAUAAGCUCGGGAAACUGGGUCUAAUACUGGAUGCUACAUCUCACCGCAUGGUGGUGUUUGGAAAGGUUUUGCUGGUCUUGGUUGGGCUCACGGCCUAUCAGCUUGUUGGUGAGGUAAUGGCUCACCAAGGGGUCGACGGGUAGCCGGCCUGAAGGGGUGACCGGCCACACUGGGACUGGGAAAAGGCCCAGAAUCCUACGGGGGGCAGCAGGGGGGAAUAUUGCACAAUGGGGGAAAGCCUGAUGCAGCGACGCCGCGUGAGGGAUGAAGGGCUUCGGGUUGUAAACCUCUUUCAGCAGGGAAGAAGCCACAAGUGACGGUACCUGCAGAAGAAGCGCCGGCUAACUACGUG
rnacentral:rRNA from 1 species